UUGUUUGUAACAUUUGUUUAUUUUAAUUCUAUCCUUGUCUGUUAUCUUUCAGAUGUUAAUGAACAAUCUGCUAAUUCCUGAUAUGCUUACUGAAUUUUCUUUCGUAAAGAGUUGGAUUUUCCAUCAUUUGGAGAAUAACAGAGGAUUCUGACUCCUCGUUCUUGUACAGUUUGGUCAAUAUGAACUUGUAGCAGUGAUGCUUGAUUACAUGCACAUGUGUUUCUGUAAAAUACUUUCCUGAUAAAAGUUACUUCAAAAAUGUUUCAGCAUAAGGUAUGAUAUCUUUAAGAUACCCUGAUAUCCAAUAGUUAAUAGCGGUACGACUCUAUGAAGAAGUGUAAUUC
rnacentral:lncRNA from 1 species